rnacentral:rRNA from 1 species
GAUGAACGCUGGCGGCGUGCCUAAUACAUGCAAGUCGAGCGAACAGACGAGGAGCUUGCUCCUCUGACGUUAGCGGCGGACGGGUGAGUAACACGUGGAUAACCUACCUAUAAGACUGGGAUAACUUCGGGAAACCGGAGCUAAUACCGGAUAAUAUAUUGAACCGCAUGGUUCAAUAGUGAAAGACGGUUUUGCUGUCACUUAUAGAUGGAUCCGCGCCGCAUUAGCUAGUUGGUAAGGUAACGGCUUACCAAGGCGACGAUGCGUAGCCGACCUGAGAGGGGGAUCGGCCACACUGGAACUGAGACACGGUCAAGACUCCUACGGGAGGCAGCAGUAGGGAAUCUUCCGCAAUGGGCGAAAGCCUGACGGAGCAACGCCGCGUGAGUGAUGAAGGUCUUCGGAUCGUAAAACUCUGUUAUGAGGGAAGAACAAAUGUGUAAGUAACUAUGCACGUCUUGACGGUACCUAAUCAGAAAGCCACGGCUAACUACGUG